CAAUAGCGUAUAUUUAAGUUGUUGCAGUUAAAAAGCUCGUAGUCGGAUUUUGGCUGAGAACGAUCGGUCCGCCGUUAGGUGUGCACUGAUUGGUCUCAGCUUCCUGGUGAGGAGGUGUGCUUCACGGCCACUUAGUCACCGUGGUUACUUUGAAAAAAUUAGAGUGUUCAAAGCGGGCUUACGCUUGAAUAUAUUAGCAUGGAAUAACACCAUAGGACUCCUGUCCUAUUUCGUUGGUCACGGGACGGGAGUAAUGAUUAAGAGGAACAGUUGGGGGCAUUCGUAUUUCAUUGUCAGAGGUGAAAUUCUUGGAUUUAUGAAGGACGAACUUCUGCGAAAGCAUUUGCCAAGGAUGUUUUCAUUGA
rnacentral:rRNA from 1 species